UCUUUUCUUCACAUUUAGUUGCCUUAUUUUCUUUCUUCUUCACCUUCUCUCUGCUAGCUCGCUCUUUCUCUCUUCGACCUCUUCCAUUUUUAGUAUUUUCUACUGGAUUUCGACCUCUUCCCUUUACCAAUUCUUUUUUGGUGUUAUCGAUUACUUCUCGUUACGGAGAAAUUGAGAAAUGGCUGAUUCCUUUAUUUGGCUAUGGACGCAAUCAGACCAGUAUCUUGGCUUGGCAAACUUUAGAUGGUGAAAAUUGCUCAAGUUGGGGAAGAGGGACACCGCGUCGACUGUAAGAGAUUCUAAGCUUAGUUAUAUUGUUAAAUGUUCAAGCAUACUGUAUAGAUGCGUGUACUUUAAGAAUAAAUUAAAUGUUAAAAUUACAAAAUUUAGACCUUACCAUAGAAACUUUAUGAAACGCUUGAAAAACAGACACCUAACAAUAACAAGAAUAUAGGCGAAGCACAAAUAUAGCCGGGGGAAUAUUCAUAUCUAGGUGCCAAAGAUAGUGAAAAAAAAAAACCUUAGGCGAUGUAUUGUAUACAGAAAAAAGGAACCUGAAUGAAAGACAACACUUUUAGAACAAUGUUAGGUAGAAUGUGUGCGAGAUCUAUCUGAAAAUUCUACUGCCUAACUAUUCAGAUCGAUACAUUCUUCCUUUGAACCUAACGUCAUGAUUCCAGACUUUAUUAAGGACAAACCUUCUUCUUCUUCGGGGACAAGCCUUCUAACACAUUACUGAAGAUCCCUGGUGUUGUACAACAGAUGAUUUCUCAAUUUCUUUUACUCUUUCUGGUCAUUACUCAAUCUAGGUGUGAGCUCAUUGAGAUGGUACAUGCUCAAAUUCGGCUUGAUGUAACUAUAAAUGGAGAUGAAAUAAAGAGAUGCUUGCACAUUUGAUUCCUAUAUUGUACUUACUUUGGUUGUUAUGUAGUAAUAGCUAAGUAGAUAUGAAAGUUUAAGAUGAUUUGAUUCUAAUUUGUGUACGAAUGAACUUUGGACUGUAUAACAUGGACUGUUCCUAGACUA